rnacentral:lncRNA from 1 species
UUUUGGUGCUCGAGGACUAGCACGGUUUAAGUUUGGGGGAUUUUGAUAAGUAUAUUUUAUAUAUGUGAUUUAAUAUCCAAUUCAUGCUUAUUUGUUGCUUAAUUUUUGUGAUCAUGUUCACUUUUACUUGUUUUAUGUUAUUUCAUGUGUAAAAUGGUGGUUGUGGCAUUCAACGUAUAUUUGGAGAUAUUUGGUGUGAUUUGGAAUCAAAUGGAGCAUAAUUAGAAGCAAGUUAGCAGAGCAGCAAAGUC